rnacentral:rRNA from 12 species
UAAAGCGGCCAUACCAUCCUGCAAGUACCUCAUCCUGUUAGAUCUUGGAAGCUAAUCAGGGCCUGGUUAGUACUUGGAUCAGAGAUUGUCUUGGAAGACCAGGGGCCGUUAGAU